GUGCCAGACUCCUACGGGAGGCAGCAGUGGGGAAUAUUGCACAAUGGGGGGAACCCUGAUGCAGCGACGCCGCGUGGGUGAAGGAGUAUUUCGGUAUGUAAAGCCCUAUCAGCAGGGAAGAACAAUGACGGUACCUGACUAAGAAGCACCGGCUAAAUACGUGCCAGCAGCCGCGGUAAUACGUAUGGUGCAAGCGUUAUCCGGAUUUACUGGGUGUAAAGGGAGCGCAGGCGGCGCGUUAAGCCUGGUGUGAAAGCCCGCGGCCCAACCGCGGGACUGCAUUGGAAACUGGCGGGCUGGAGUGCCGGAGAGGUAAGCGGAAUUCCUAGUGUAGCGGUGAAAUGCGUAGAUAUUAGGAGGAACACCAGUGGCGAAGGCGGCUUACUGGACGGCAACUGACGCUGAGGCUCGAAAGCGUGGGGAGCAAACAGGAUUAGAUACCCGAGUAC
rnacentral:rRNA from 1 species